rnacentral:rRNA from 1 species
CCUUGACGACGACUGGCGCACGGGUGAGUAACGCGUAUCCAACCUUCCCAUGACCACGGGAUAACCCGUUGAAAGACGGCCUAAUACCGUAUGACGUCGUUUGCCGACAUCGAAAGACGACCAAAGGUUUGGCGGUGAUGGAUGGGGAUGCGUCUGAUUAGCUUGUUGGCGGGUAACGGCCCACCAAGGCUACGAUCAGUAGGGGUUCUGAGAGGAAGGUCCCCCACAUUGGAACUGAGACACGGUCCAAACUCCUACGGGAGGCAGCAGCU